GACGAACGCUGGCGGCGUGCUUAACACAUGCAAGUCGAACGGAAAGGCCCUGCUUUUGUGGGGUGCUCGAGUGGCGAACGGGUGAGUAACACGUGAGUAACCUGCCCUUGACUUUGGGAUAACUUCAGGAAACUGGGGCUAAUACCGGAUAGGAGCUCCUGCUGCAUGGUGGGGGUUGGAAAGUUUCGGCGGUUGGGGAUGGACUCGCGGCUUAUCAGCUUGUUGGUGGGGUAGUGGCUUACCAAGGCUUUGACGGGUAGCCGGCCUGAGAGGGUGACCGGGCACAUUGGGACUGAGAUACGGCCCAGACUCCUACGGGAGGCAGCAGUGGGGAAUAUUGCACAAUGGGCGGAAGCCUGAUGCAGCAACGCCGCGGGCGGGAUGACGGCCUUCGGGUUGUAAACCGCUUUCGCCUGUGACGAAGCGUGAGUGACGGUAAUGGGUAAAGAAGCACCGGCUAACUACGUG
rnacentral:rRNA from 1 species